AGCCAAGCCAGCCAAGACAGCCAGCCAGC
rnacentral:piRNA from 1 species